AUUGAACGCUGGCGGCAGGCCUAACACAUGCAAGUCGAGCGAGCGGCGGACGGGUGAGUAAUGUAUGGGGACUGCCCGAUAGAGGGGGAUAACUACUGGAAACGGUGGCUAAUACCGCAUACUAUCGGAUAACCUAUAUGGGAUUAGCUAGUGGGUGGGGUAAAGGCUCACCUAGGCGACGAUCUCUAGCUGGGCUGAGAGGAUGAUCGGCAACACGGGGACUGAGACACGGCCCAGAGUCCUAGGGAGGCAGAAGUGGGGAAGAUUGCACAAGGGGCGCAAGCCUGAGGCAGCCAUGCCGCGUGUAUGAAGAAGGCCUUAGGGUUGUAAAGUACUUUCAGCGGGGAGGCGUUAACCGCAGAAAAAGCACCGGCUAACUCCGUGCCAGCAGCCGCGGUAAUAC
rnacentral:rRNA from 1 species